CGAUGUCAUAUUAAUCUUUUGUCCUCUUCCAAUUUUUUUUAUAACUUUUUUUUAUUAUUUCAAUUGUAUUUGUUGUAUAAAGAGAAUAUAUUUUGAAUCUUAAUAUGAUUCUCUCACAAGAAAUUCUUUUAAGAAAUUUUCUAUAUAUUGUAUUAUUUUGUAUUAUUUUGGUUAUUGCAUUAUUAUAUUAGUUAUUAGUCAUUAACCUACAAAAAUAUGAAUAACAUUUGUUUUUAAAUUUGUGUUUUUACGUAAAAAAAAUAAAAUAAAAUAAAAUAAAAUAAAAAAGAAGAGAGGAAAUAAAAUCUUUUAUAUAAUUGAUAAAGUAUAGAUCGUUUUAUAUAAUUAUAUAAUAUUUAUAUUUUCAUUUUAUAUUUUUAUUCUUCAUAUUAUAAACAUAUGAAUAUUUAAUUAUAUAUUCAGAAUGGAUAUGUAUAUGCAAGUACAUAUGCGUGAGACAGAUGGAAGAGAAGCAUAUAAUGAAGGCACAUAAUAUAUAAUACUGUAUAUAGGUGUGUUCUUGUAUAAAAAAUUUGAGGACAACGAAAUAUUUAAAAAUGCUUUAAGACUGUGUCGAAGAAGAUUGGAAUGCAUGGUAUGCAACUUAUUCGUUGGACGUGUUUCACUUCGACUUAAACCGAUUUUAUUCGAACAUUACCGAGAAUAUCCGAAGCGAGUCGAUUACAACCGAUUCAAAAACCGACUCUUUUCUUGGCAAUUGUAACAUAACUUCUUUCACUUUAUUAGUCAAUUAUAAUUUUUUUGAUGUAUUGCAAAUCUUAAAUUAUGUAUGAUUUUUAAAAAUAUAUAUAUUAAAUAUCUAA